CCUGAUCUUCUCUCUCUUUUCUCUCUUGAUCUAAAAGACGAAUCCACCAAAAACCAGAAAAAUCAAUCGAUUCUCUGUUUCGCGACCCUCCCUGCCGUUAUCGUCAUCUGGGUCAUUAUCUCCACCGACGCGACUUUGGGGUGGAGUCUGGAGAGAUGGUCACUGCCUCACUGGCCUGGAGAAAUCACCAGACCUCUCUUCUUACUUCCUCGUUUGAUGAUUGGAAUCGAUGAUUGGUCUUAACUCAAGACUGCAAAUCGAAUAAUGCAAUGGCCAUUGGUGUACAUGUCUAAGGUGGAUGGGAAGUUCAACUUCAGUCCUAUUAGCGUCAACUUCUUGACAGAGAUCGCUAAAGUUAUUUUUGCGAUUGUCAUGCUUUUACUCCAGGUAUGUUUCUGAACUAACUUUUAAUCUCGAUUCUUUAAUUGGGACAGUUAGGUUAUACUCUAGAAUUUAGGACUAGUGGCUAGAUGUUUCUUCAGCAAUAGAAGGUGAAAAGUACUAGAAAGUAGAAGUUCAUAGUGUUGAUUAACUAGUAACGUGAAUGUGAUAUAGUUCCAAUUAGUUCUGUGCAUAAAAACACUUUCUUGCUUGAGUCUCUUGCAUUUGUUUUGUAAGCACCGUGGACGAUCUUGUAUUUUCUUAAAACUGAUCCUUGUGUUUCAAUGAAAAAUUCCUUGUCAAUGUUAGUAGCGCUUUCUUGAUCAGUCUAUUAACAUGUGAAUGACUAUAUGUAUGUAUAGCCCACUGAAUAUGGUGUUAGUUAGGGGCUUCUAGUGCAGGAUUAAGGAUUAAGAGUUAAAGUCGUGAUUUUUCCUGCAACUGGUGCAGCUAGUGAAGGUUGUUCAGAACAGAUAUCAACAGAAACCCAAGCUGUAAUACCUGAGGAAGACACCGGUGUGUCUUAUACUUUGCCUAAUUUUGAAACUCCAGAUAAAGACGUUGAUUUAGUCGCUGAAAAGGUAUCAGCUCUUAGUUCUCAUUACUCUAAAGCAUAUAAUAAGCCUUUCUUAGAAGUGUGAUCUAGCAAAGAGGCUAAACAUAUUUAGGCUCAAUUACUUUCUCAGUUUCAACUUUCAAAGGAAUAGAAAUGUGAUGAGAUUCUUUUGCAAUUAUAACUGGUAAAGAAGUUAUUGGUUAGGAGGAGGGCCUGUAGUAUUUGAAUGACUCGAGAGCUUGGUAUAUGUGAGUACAUGGGACCAUUCGGGAGUACAUGGUAUAUCACUACAGAUGAGGAAGCUACCGUCGCCUAAAUUUAUGGUUGAAGUUGUUCUUGCUGAUAUAAAUGCAACAAUCCCUAGUUCUGAAACAGCAUCCACAACACCGGAAGAAACUCCAUCAGCUAAUUCUGCCCCCGUAGACGGCUCUGCAUAAAGCUCAACUUCAAAGCUUGUGCCUUCUCAACACAAGCAAAAGAGAAACUUGAAGCUUCGGGAUGUUUUAGAGUAAUGAGAACUAAGCUUGAAGUUUAAAGAACAUACAAAACUUAUUGGGUCUGUUUUUUUUGGUAUCGCAGGAUCAAAUCAAAAGCCUUGUUACUUUUUUUUUUGUUGUUUUUAUGAAUGCUUGUUGGUGUUUGGGAUUUUUAUCUAGUUACUACUACUAUUGAUGUCUGGAUUUUAUAAAAAGUUUUGGAUUUUUAAGUUAAUUGUUUGAAGAAUUA